UAGGGAAUCUUCCACAAUGGGCGGAAGCCUGAUGGAGCAACGCCGCGUGUGUGAUGAAGGGUUUCGGUUCGUAAAACACUGUUGUAAGAGAAGAAUGACAUUGAGAGUAACUGUUCAAUGUGUGACGGUAUCUUACCAGAAAGGAACGGCUAAAUACGUGCCAG
rnacentral:rRNA from 1 species